rnacentral:rRNA from 1 species
UACGGAGGGAGCUAGCGUUGUUCGGAAUUACUGGGCGUAGAGCGCACGUAGGCGGCUACUCAAGUCAGAGGUGAAAGCCCGGGGCUCAACCCCGGAACUGCCUUUGAAACUAGGUAGCUAGAAUCCUGGAGAGGUCAGUGGAAUUCCGAGUGUAGAGGUGAAAUUCGUAGAUAUUCGGAAGAACACCAGUGGCGAAGGCGACUGACUGGACAGGUAUUGACGCUGAGGUGCGAAAGCGUGGGGAGCAAACAGG